GGGCCCAUAGCUCAGCGGUUAGAGCAACUGACUCAUAAUCAGUGGGUCCCAGGUUCAAGUCCUGGUGGGCCCA
rnacentral:tRNA from 1 species